rnacentral:lncRNA from 1 species
AGACGAGCUCUCGGUGAGAGAUGUGGGAUGAGAGGUUAUUGCGCAAGCUAAGUGAUAUAGAUCGGCGGGCAUUUCUCUCGUUGGACCUGAAGGUCGGCUAAUCGGGUCGACAUGAAAGUGAACCGAGAUUGUUAUGUAUAAAAAGCAUAGACAGGCGAAGGUAUGACAGCCAUGUCUGAAGAAAAAGAGAGGUGCCAUAUUUUGUUUGGUAAAGAACAAUCGUAAAAGAAAAAAAAAAAAUAGAGAAUAGCGUCUAAUAGAGAUGACCGCGGCAGUCUGAUAUUGAAGAUUGCGAUUCAACUACGAUUUAAGUUGCGUGUGUUCCAUCUUUAUAAUUAUAUCGGUUAUUUCGUGUUCGAUAUCGCAACAGUAAACACGGGGUCAUGCGACAUCGUCAUCAACAUCCACGAUAGAUGAGAUGGCUUAUAGAGAGCAACGCACGCUCUGCAACCGCGCGCGAUUAUUGCGCAACCUGGUGCGUUGCGCAUCAACCGAUGACUCGCAUUGAUGGUUCGACAUCUUGUAUCGACUUGUACCAGCAGAAGUAAAAUCAUUCCAUGGAAAACAAUAAAUCACAUCGGUCUUUCCCAUGCAUUUCUCAUCUUAUUGGUAAACGUUCAGCCUUCGCUCCACUAGCUUUACAAUCUUGAAGGAUAAACGGAUAAAUAUUUCUCAACUAACAUUGAAAGAGUUAAUACGCUUAGUUAUCAACAUCAUAGUAACAAAUUCAAUCCGUGCUAUAUGGAUAUCGGAUUCCUGGAAUCGGAUCGGAUGAAGAAGAUGUAGGAAAUCAAGGAGAUAUUGACAACAGAAAUCAACAUGAUUUGAUGAUCGAUAGGAUCAUCGGUGAGUUGUGAAUCGAUUCGAAUUAACUGGUGUAGGGGUGCGGCUCGCGCGCAAAAAAACGGGGCAAUCGUGAGUCUCGAUAAUAGGAUACUAUGAUCGUUCGAGACAAUGUAUAUCUUAGCUUGAGAAGAAUAGACUGAAAAGAAUAGACUGGGAUGCUUUCUAAACGGAUCGAGUCUCCGAAUACACCGAUACGCUUUGAGAAGACCCAGCCCUUUGCCGCGCUAUCCGUGCAUUCAUCUAUCUUGCUGCUCGUGUUAUGCCAGAGGUGAGGUUCAUCGGUGAAACACUUCAUCGAGAAUUGUUCCGCCGCAGUCUCAACGCUCUCAACGAAUCGCUCUAACGGUGGGCGCUGUCUCCAAAAAAGGAUCGUGCAUGAGAAGACAGGAUCCUAGCCGAGAGUAAUAAGCGAUCUAUGGUCUAAUGUUUCAUCGUUCUUCCAGUUGAGGCUCCUCGGUAAAAGCCGAAUAUGGUGUUACUGAUAGUUUUAUAAGAGAAGUAAAAUUUUUUUUUUCCUUCUUAUUGUUCCGCUAAUGUAUCUUUUUAGCAAUAAAUUCUAUUAUACUUUUGUUUUUCUUCCAGUGAGAAUUCUUGAAUUCUUUAGAAGAUGGGAUAUUUUAUUUCGUUAAAAUAUUUAUCAAGAUUAUAUAACCGAAAUACACUGUGAAAUAGAAAUAUCGUUAUUUGUUCAUCUGUUGCAGUUUAAUGGAUUAGGAAACAUUAGUUAUACGUUUGAUAGGUUAGUUAAUUGCAGUUGUGAACACAACAUGGCAUAUGCAUGUGUAAAGAGAAAUAAUUUCAUACUCUAUUGCCGCAAGGGUAUUCCCGUAAUCAGAAUAAUCAGACGACAAUUCCAAAUCAACUUUCUCCCCAGUAAGAAUUCUAAGAGAAUAAGACACGAACGAAAAUUGCGGAAGCGGCUCACACGUCGUUAUUGAAUAAUGAUCUCGAACGGGAGGGACUGUACGCAUAAUGCCUCCCUACUAUCGUCUCGACUCUUGCUUUGUUACAAUCUUACUAGAUAGAUGAUUGCACCAUUUCGAAAGAACCACAUAGAGGUCGACAAAGGAGGAAAAUAUUUUUGCGGUUUAGGUAGUUCUUGAAUGCUUUGAUGCAACCAUGUGGACGCAAUGAUAACAGGGAGUAUGACAAAGUAGAUGAGUACGCGUUUCCCGCGACUAAACUAUCUUCUCGCAAUUCUAUGCAACAACCUGAUGCAAUUGAUGGAAAAUUCUUGUGUAUUGGAAUUCUUAAAAUACGUAUUAGUAUGUACUUUCAUCCGGGAUACCGAGCGUACUAUCGUGAUGAUAAUUGCUUCUCGUUCACAGUAAUAUAUAAAAUUUAAACAUUUCUCCUUUUGCUUGGAUACCUUUAGGCUAUGACCAAGUUGAACGAUGUAAUUGACCAGGAUAAAGAUGGAAGAAGGAUUAAAGAACAAAGGAACGUUAGUAAAAUUAUCUUUUGUUGUUAGAGAUUACCACUGAUGAAUCCUCUUCGAUGGAAUUUGAAAACAUAUCGCAAUUAUUCGAUCCGGGAUCCUCCACGAUCGACGCGAUCGAGACUAACCGAGAUGUCGUUUUCUCGAUUUAAAAGGGUCAUCUCCUGAGUGAGCGAGUGAAUGGGUACUCACGGUAGCACACUGUGAGCCUUCUCUUCGUGAGCUGGCUCAUGGUUACGGGGAAAGAAAAUAUAGUUCAGUCCGGUUGCAUAAUAGAGGUGCAUCACAUUGGUUCGACUGAGGUACUUUGAGAAUCUAUAGUAACAGCGAAUAUUUCUUCUUCUAGCGUCAAUGGUGACCUUUGAAGCUGAAGGCAUGAACACUUGUAACACCGUUGUUCGCUGAGGGUAGGGGUGCAGUCAUGCUGUAACGAAGAUGAAAACCAUUAGCCCCGAGCUAUAGAGUUAGAUGAUCUAAUUUCUAUAUAGUUUGUAUACCGACACCCGGACUCGACCUGUUCACCUUGGUUGCUGAGCAAUAUAAAAGCAAGCUCUUCGACUCAUGAGCUUAAAACGAUGCUCGACUGCAUCGUCAAAGCAUGAACUAAUAUAAAAUUGAAUUCAAUAGGUUUGUAUUAUGUUUAGUUUUAUGAUAAAUUUAAGAUUAAUUUAA